rnacentral:rRNA from 1 species
UACAGAGGGUGCUAGCGUUGUUCGGAAUUACUGGGCGUAAAGGGCUUGUAGGCGGCCAAUUACGUCACACGUGAAAUCCCCAGGCUUAACCUGGGAACUGCGUGUGAUACUGGAUGGCUUGAAUCCGGGAGAGGGAUGCGGAAUUCCAGGUGUAGCGGUGAAAUGCGUAGAUAUCUGGAGGAACACCGGUGGCGAAGGCGGCAUCCUGGACCGGUAUUGACGCUGAUGAGCGAAAGCCAGGGGAGCAAACGGG